rnacentral:rRNA from 1 species
AGUGGCGGACGGGUGAGGAAUACAUCGGAAUCUACUUUUUCGUGGGGGAUAACGUAGGGAAACUUACGCUAAUACCGCAUACGACCUACGGGUGAAAGCAGGGGAUCUUCGGACCUUGCGCGAUUGAAUGAGCCGAUGUCGGAUUAGCUAGUUGGCGGGGUAAAGGCCCACCAAGGCGACGAUCCGUAGCUGGUCUGAGAGGAUGAUCAGCCACACUGGAACUGAGACACGGUCCAGACUCCUACGGGAGGCAGCAGUGGGGAAUAUUGGACAAUGGGCGCAAGCCUGAUCCAGCCAUACCGCGUGGGUGAAGAAGGCCUUCGGGUUGUAAAGCCCUUUUGUUGGGAAAGAAAUCCAGCUGGCUAAUACCCGGUUGGGAUGACGGUACCCAAAGAAUAAGCACCGGCUAACUUCGUGCCAGCAGCCGCGGUAAUACGAAGGGUGCAAGCGUUACUCGGAAUUACUGGGCGUAAAGCGUGCGUAGGUGGUUGUUUAAGUCUGUUGUGAAAGCCCUGGGCUCAACCUGGGAACUG